GGUUCCAUUUGGAGACCACAGGAAACAAACAGGUGCCAAAAGCACAAGGCUGUCUCCUCACUUUUUUUUUUUUUUUUUUUUCAUUCCUAGUGCUUGGCAAAAAGCUUCUUAGCUAGCUGCCUCUGCAGUUCAACAUCGUCUGGAAGCUCCCACCUGUUUCCGUACCUGCAGAUCUGUUCUCCUCUUCCUGCAAAAAGCACUAUUUUGAUGUUCUGACUGUUCUGAAUAGUACACCCUGCUACUUGGGAAACAGCAAAAUGCCAGUCCUUUCAUGUGAUACUAUGUAG
rnacentral:lncRNA from 1 species